rnacentral:rRNA from 1 species
AGUGAACGCUGGCGGUAGGCCUAACACAUGCAAGUCGAACGGCAGCACAGUAAGAGCUUGCUCUUACGGGUGGCGAGUGGCGGACGGGUGAGGAAUACAUCGGAAUCUACUUUUUCGUGGGGGAUAACGUAGGGAAACUUACGCUAAUACCGCAUACGACCUACGGGUGAAAGCAGGGGAUCUUCGGACCUUGCGCGAUUGAAUGAGCUGAUGUCGGAUUAGCUAGUUGGCGGGGUAAAGGCCCACCAAGGCGACGAUCCGUAGCUGGUCUGAGAGGAUGAUCAGCCACACUGGAACUGAGACACGGUCCAGACUCCUACGGGAGGCAGCAGUGGGGAAUAUUGGACAAUGGGCGCAAGCCUGAUCCAGCCAUACCGCGUGGGUGAAGAAGGCCUUCGGGUUGUAAAGCCCUUUUGUUGGGAAAGAAAAGCGGCAGGUUAAUACCCCGCUGUUCUGACGGUACCCAAAGAAUAAGCACCGGCUAACUUCGUG